GUUUGUUCGGUUUGUUCGGUUUGUUCGUCUAGUUCGUCUAGUUCGUCUAGUUCGUCUUGUCCGCUUUUUCCUUCCCCCCUUUUCUAUCUUUCCAUUAUUCAGUCCCCCUUUUUGCUCAAGCGCUAUACUACACAAAUAAGUACUAUAUUGACACAUAUUUCUGAAAAGAAAAUAAAAAAANNNNNNNNNNAAAUCCGAACUAAACAAUCUAUCAAAUAUGAACUUAGUUGUUGAUCAUAACAAAAACGAAAAUAAUAAUAAUUAUUACAAUGAUAAUAACUCCAGUUACAUUAAUAAUCCAUAUGAUGAAUAUGACGAAUAUAAUGGAUGUGAUGUGUCGGUGUCGGAUUCUUAUUUAGAGCAGUACUAUACUAACCCAAACAAAGAAAAUUAUUAUUACGAUAUGGAUGAAUAUUCACAAUCAGAUAGAUGUUCAGAAAAUAGUUCAAAUGACAAUUCAAAUGACAAUUCAAAUGACAAUUCAGCUAAUAUUUUAAAUGUGGGUUCUUCAAAUGUAUUAAACUGUGGAGAGAUAAGUGCAUCCAAUUGUGUGGAUGUGAAUAGUAUGAUCAAAAACAACUUAACAUCUAAACAAAGCAGAAAUGCAAAAAAAAAUAAUGACCAACAAUACCUAUAUUCAUACAAAAAAGAAAAAAAAUAUUUAAAAUCAGUUAUAGAUAUAGCAUUUUAUUAUUUUCCUAUCGAAUUUAUAAAUAAUGAGCAUAAAUACGAUUUAAUAACAGAAGCAGACUUACAAGCUUCUUUUUGCAAAUGUCUAAAAUCAAAUAAAAGAUUAGGUAACCUUGUAAUAACAAAUAUAUUGGAUCAACUAUAUAAUACUGAAGAUGAGGAUAUUACUGAUAAAUAUUUUCAAAAUGUGAUUAAUACAUUAGAAGAAUGUAUUCCUUUUUAUACAUACAAAUGUGCAGGUAAAUUUAUUACUACUGUGUUAGGUAUUAUCGAAUUAGAAUGUAUUGAAAAUAAUGCAUCAGAUAAAACAGUAGAUUAUUUAAUAAAUAUAUUAUAUAUUUUUUUAAAAGAGUUAAAUAAAGA
rnacentral:lncRNA from 1 species